rnacentral:rRNA from 1 species
CCUACGGGGGGCAGCAGUCGAGAAUCAUUCACAAUGGGGGAAACCCUGAUGGUGCGACGCCGCGUGGGGGAAUGAAGGUCUUCGGAUUGUAAACCCCUGUCAUGUGGGAGCAAAUUAAAAAGAUAGUACCACAAGAGGAAGAGACGGCUAACUCUGUGCCAGCAGCCGCGGUAAUACAGAGGUCUCAAGCGUUGUUCGGAAUCACUGGGCGUAAAGCGUGCGUAGGCUGUUUGGUAAGUCGUGUGUGAAAGGCGCGGGCUCAACCCGCGGACGGCACAUGAUACUGCGAGACUAGAGUAAGGGAGGGGGAAGCGGAAUUCUCGGUGUAGCAGUGAAAUGCGUAGAUAUCGAGAGGAACACUCGUGGCGAAGGCGGGUUCCUGGACAUUAACUGACGCUGAGGCACGAAGGCCAGGGGAGCGAAAGGGAUUAGAUACCCUAGUAGUC